GACGAACGCUGGCGGCGUGCUUAACACAUGCAAGUCGAGCGGUAAGGCCCUUUCGGGGGUACACGAGCGGCGAACGGGUGAGUAACACGUGGGUGACCUGCCCUCAGCUCUGGGAUAAGCCUGGGAAACCGGGUCUAAUACUGGAUAUGACUCCAUGACGCAUGUUGUGGGGUGGAAAGCCUUGUGCGGCUGAGGAUGGGCCCGCGGCCUAUCAGCUUGUUGGUGGGGUGAUGGCCUACCAAGGCGACGACGGGUAGCCGGCCUGAGAGGGCGACCGGCCACACUGGGACUGAGACACGGCCCAGACUCCUACGGGAGGCAGCAGUGGGGAUCUUGCGCAAUGGGCGAAAGCCUGACGCAGCGACGCCGCGUGAGGGAUGACGGCCU
rnacentral:rRNA from 1 species